rnacentral:lncRNA from 1 species
GUAACUCUUUCCAUGGGUGUUUUGUUCCCAAUUCUAAGAAGGGGCACAGUGUCCACACUUUGGUCUUCGUUCUUCUUGAGUUUGAUGCGUUUAACAAAUUGUAUCUUAUAUCUUGGGUAUCCUAAGUUUUUGGGCUAAUAUCCACUUAUCAGUGAGUACAUAUUGUGUGAGUUCCUUUGUGAUUGUGUUACCUCACUCAGGAUGAUGCCCUCCAGGUCCAUCCACUUGCCUAGGAAUUUCAUAAAUUCAUUCCUUUUAAUAGCUGAGUAGUACUCCAUUGUGUAAAUGUACCACAUUUUCUGUAUCCAUUCCUCUGUUGAGGGGCAUCUGGGUUCUUUGCUGUUACUUUCUUAAACAGAGCAUAGCUUCAUUGUUUUGUGUACUUGUUUAAAUGGUUCUUUCUAUUGGUAUCUCCUGCUUUAUCCUGCCACUCCCUCUCCUCUACUUGAUUAAUUCAGACUUAUUUUGACUUUUUUUCUAAAUUUAAAAUUAUUUUAGGUUUUGAAAAAUCUUUUUGGGUUUGGAGAGAUGGCUGAGUGGUUAAGAGCACUGGCGGCUCUUCCUGAGUUCAAUUCCCAGCAACCACAUGGUGGCUCAUGACCAUCUAUAAAGGGAUCUGAUGCCCUCUUUUGGCGUGCACGUGUACAUGCAGCAGAGCAUUCACAUACAUAAAAAUAAUUAAGAUUUUAUUAUAAGGAAGCACCCUCUUAGAGGCCAAGGGUAGAGGGGUGGGGGGCUCAUUGGAGGGGGAACAGGGAAGGGAGAUAACAUUUGAAAUGUAAAUAAAUAAAUAAAUAAAUAAGUAAAAAACAAAACACUGAAACCAUCUGAUGGAGAUCUUUUUUGGUGAUAAGAUUAAAAAAGUUUUCACUUCUAGAGAAUUAAAUAAUUCCAAGUUUGUCUCAGUGUUGGUAAUAAUCUUUUUCUUUUGUGCUUGUUUUUUGUUUUACCUUUUAUUUCUUUAAGCAUUAUAAAAUGCUCACUUAUAUUUUAAUUUUUUCAUCUUUUAUUAAUUCUUCACUUACCUUUUUGUUGAUACCCCCUUUUCCAAAUAUAUUUUUUAUGUGUGUGUGUGUGAGAGUUUGAAUGUAUACCACAUGACUGCUGGUGCUGGUGAAGACCAGGAAGUGUUGGAUCCUCUGGAGCUGGAGUUACAGGCAGUGUUGAGCUACCCACUGUGGGUGCUGGGAAUCAAAAUUAGGUCUUCUGGAAGAGCAGCCUGUGUUCUUAACAGCUGAGCCAUCACUCCUGCCCCUGUUUGGUUGAUUCUUUUGUUUAGUUUAUGUAUGUUGCUCAGCAGUAUUAUAUAUUUUUUCUCCCACUUAUAUACUGAGGUGUAAACUUUAAAAAUGUAAAAAAGGAUAUAAAGCAAAAGGGGGAAUGAUUUGUUUGCUUUUUAAAAAAUAGAUUAAUUUUGUUUUGUGUGUGAGUGUUUUGCCUGCAUGUAUGUCUGUGUACACUGUGUGCUUGAUGCCCAUGGAGGUCAAAGAAGGCAUCAGAUCCUCUGCAAUUGGAGUUACAAAUUGUUGUAAACCACCAUGUAGGUGUUGGGAACCAAAUCUGAGUCUUCUUCAAGAGCAACAAGUACUCUUAACCUCUGUACCAUUUCUCCAGCUUCAACAAAUGAUUCUUUAUAGCAGUGACGAAUUCUUUAACAGUAUAAUUUUUUAAAAUUAUAAGGCAUAUAAGUAAAUACAUUUUAGAAGUAUAGGUAAGUUCAGGUUUAUAUAUACAUAUAGUUUGCUUGCCCUUAACAAUUAUUAGUACAGAGUAACACUUGUUAUUUUGAAUCUUCUGUAUUUCAUUUCCUUUGUUUUUCAUCCGGUGGGAUAGGAAGAACAUAAUUUGUCUUUGACAUGAGGUUAAGUCCACAUAUUUCAUUCUAACAGCUAUACUACACAGAGCAAUUUAUAUACUUUCUAUGGGGAUCAAGUUCUCUGGUAAGUAAAAUAAGGAUAAUAACACCCAACCUACAGAUGGCAUUUUAUAUCUAAUGAUGUCAUAUAAGUCAGUUACUGUUGUGAUUCCAAAAAUAUAAAAGAUUGUUUCUGUUUCUUUUGUUUUAAUCUGUUUUUUUUAAAUUCUAUUUAUUUCAAGCAAAAUGUGAAAUUCAGUAUUUAGAUCGUAACUUAUUAUGUGUGUUUGAUACUGUUGCUCUACUUGGAUCACAGAAAAACCUCUGUUUGGUGCCAUGUCUCACUCAACUUGGCCGAUCCAUUCUGUUGUCUGUGGUUUUCUGUCAAGCAGUUGUCCCAGACCUUAAGCUGACACUUGGGCAAUAAAUGCAUACCUUAGGGGGAAAAAUGUCUUGUUCCAGUGAAAGUUGGUCCAGAAAUUCUGAUAGAAGUAGUUUAGUUUAUUUGAGAGAUUUGAGAAUUAAAAAAACAAAACAAAACUUACGUGUAUAUUUUUCAGUUUUUUUUUCUCUAGUACUUAGGAAUCAGAUUUAAAUUAAAUACCUUUUAAGGACUUAGUUAAGUAAAUUCAUAAUCCUAUAUUUUUACCUAGUACUCUUUUAAAAUUAAUACUUAGCUGCUUAUACUGUUGAAGACUGAAACUUUGCUACACAUAAACAACCAGUUACACAUUUUCAAAGGAAUUUCACAGCUUAUUUUCUGUAUAACUAUAUCUAAAUAUAAUUUUUUGGUUUUGUUAUUCAUAUUUACAAGGAAGCUGACUAAAAGAAUUAUUUCAUUUGUUACAUAACUUGAAAAAUGUUUGAAAUAUAUUGACUAUUAGUAGAAUGGUAAUUGUACUUACUUGAAUACAUUUAUAAUGAAAGUUUGUAGUCAUCAAUUAUGAAGAGAAUCCAAUCUUUACUAAAAUAUUUAACUUUAUUUUAAAAUUCUAAAUUAAUAGGUUUUCUAAAUAAAGUAAGUAAAGGCUUACUGAGUUUAUUUUUUUUAUUUUCUAGAUUAACAACUAUACACACAUACACAAAAUCCAGAAUGAUAUAAGAAAAAAUAGUUCAUAGAAUGGAAUUAGAAAAGAUAUCUUAAGAUUAAAAAAUAUAUGUAUAUGUGUAUGAAUUUGUUUGUACACAUGAAUGCAGUGCUUGCCAGAGACUAAAAGAGGGCAUUGUGUGCCCUGGAGCUGGAGUUACAGGUGGUUGUUAGCCACUUGACAUGGUAUUAGAAACCAAAUUCAGGUCCUCUGCAAGAGCAGUACAGUUUCUUAACAACCACUGAGCCAUCUCUCCAGCCCUAAGAAUAGAGAUUUUAUAAUCAAUAUCCUUGUUUGUGAAUCCUGACUUUUCCUUGAUGUUCUUUUGUUUGUUUUUUGAGACAGGGUUUCUUUGUGUAGCCCUGGCCAUCCUGGAUCUUGGUCUGUAGACUAGGCUGGCUAGUCUUGAAUUCAGAGAUUCAUCUGCUUCUGCCUCUUAAGUGUUGGGAUUAAAGGUAUGCGUCACCUUACCUGGAAGAGAUAUUUUAUAUAAGACAAGUUGUGCUGGGCCUGGAGCGAAUAGGGGUCAAAGCGAGUUGGGGUCGGAGCAAGCAGCAAGCGGGGCCAGAGCAAGUGGGAGAAAGGGAAGGGGG